rnacentral:lncRNA from 1 species
UUGAAACUUGCUGCCCACUUGAUGAUUUUUGCUGAAGUCAUCAUGAUGAUGUCAUGUUGCUUAGAGAUAGAUAUUGAUCCUUUGGAUAUUCCUUUUCCUCAAAAUUCCUGAAUGGAUCGAAAAAGCCACAUGAGGGCCCAAAGAUGAUUUUAUUCUUUUUGCUUCCAACACAUGUGCAAGAAUAUAAUUUAUUUCCUUUGUUUCUUUGUCCUUUAAUGCAUUUCCAAGAACCUUGAUUUCUUUC